UACCUAUCAUUUCUAACUUUGGGAAUCUUUCUUUUAGGUGAGACGUGGAAUCCGUUAAAACUGCAUUAUCAAUUAAGAAACGUGAGGGAACGAUUAGCUAAAAACCUGGUAGAAAAGGGCGUAUUGACAACCGAGAAACAGAACUUCCUUCUUUUUGACAUGACGACACAUCCCCUCACCAACAACAGCAUUAAGCAGCGCCUCAUCAAGAAGGUGCAGGAAGCCGUUCUCGACAAGUGGGUGAACGACCCUCACCGCAUGGACAAGCGCCUGCUGGCCCUCAUCUACCUGGCCCACGCCUCGGAUGUCCUGGAGAACGCGUUCGCGCCCCUCCUGGACGAGCAGUACGAUUUAGCCACCAAGCGGGUGCGGCAGCUCCUGGACUUAGACCCUGAGGUGGAGUGUCUGAAGGCCAGCACCAACGAGGUGCUGUGGGCAGUGGUGGCCGCCUUCACCAAGUGACGCUGCGCAGAACCGAGCGUCCUCCUUUCUCUCGCGGGAACCAGUCGUUUUUCUUCCAGGGACUCCUGGUUUUCUGCAGUUUGUACUUCCCACACUAUAAUUGGCUUUUGUUUUAUGAAAUGGUGGGUGGCUUUUUCUUUUGUGUAUGUAUGCAGGAUUCUGCUGGUACGAGAGGCCUUCCUCUUUCUGUUGUGGAAAAAGUUUCACCGCCAUACUGGCAUUCCAUUGCUCGUUGCCAUCCUCACUGUUGCCCGUUUGGGUUCUGGUGUGCUUUGACUGUCAGAGUACCUCCAGGUUCCUCACACGCACAUCUUUUGGAUUACCUCAGGUUGAGUUUCUCCCACAUGUGCACGUACAUCUCGCAUUCUGCCUGCAAUUCAGACAGAAGUCACAAAAAGGCCUUUAACUCACCAAAGGUAAAUAUCUGUAUCUAUUAGGACAUUUUAUACAUAGACCUCAGUUGAGAUGUAUACUUAGCAAAAUUAUUUUUAAAUUGAAAUACACAGUAAAUAAUAUAAAGUGCCCCUUGGAUCUUGCUUUCCAUGUAAAUCUAUUGUAUUAUUACACUUGUCAUAAUUUUAACUAUUAAGUCAUAAAGGUCCAAUUGUUUCACACAGCCAGUUUGGGAUGAGCUGCAUUCCAGUUAUGCUGUAUAUAGUUUGAAUUAUAUAGAAGUUGUUCCUUCUUCUGGCCACCACUGCCCAUCUUAGUAUUUUGCAGGGUUUAAUUAGUUGUACACCUGGUGCCCCUUACUUGCUGCAGGCAUUGUAAUUUGAUGGCAAAAUAGACCUCUCAUCAUUGAAGGAGAGAGAAAACGUGUGUCUAAUUGGUCCCAAGAUUUUUUGAGCUGUGCCAUUCAUGGUACUCUUUGCCUAUGCAUCUCCUCUCUGGAAUUUUUUUCAGUCUUAUUAUUUUUAUCAUUUCUGUAGAGAAGAGGCUUGUGACCAGUACUAAUCUUGAGUACAGUUUUAUCUUUUUCUGUCCACAAGUAAAUUAAUGUCUGCUCUUAAAUAAAUAUCUACUCACACUUUCUUGGGGGAAGAAAAUCAAAUGUCAGCACUAGCAGAUGUUGCAUGUAAAUCGUUAGCAAGUAACGACUACAACUCAGAUGAUUAAGAGUUUUGUAGCAGAAAGCUCUGCUGUGUUUUAAUUUUUAUAUACAAUUAUGAUAAUUAGCACAUUGUAAGAAUAUAAACCUUUGCUUUUUAGAGUUUAUUUUUACUAUUUCUUUAUCAUUGUUUAUCGUAUCACCAUUGGUUUCAUAAUGUAAAUACUAUAUAUUGAACAAAUUAAAUGUCAAAUUUUUUAUUACCAUAGUUCAUGUUACUAGUGGGGCUUUCAGGUGUUUAGAGACUUUUCUGGUUAACAUUCACUUCAAAAGUACUAGAUGGUGUAUAACUCUAGAGCUGAAUUUUAAGGGAUUCCCUAAUAUGUAUACUAUCUUUUUAUCUGAAGUAAUAAAUAAACUAUGAUCUUGAAAGUGCCUGAAUCAGA